rnacentral:rRNA from 1 species
UACAGAGGGUGCAAGCGUUGUUCGGAAUUAUUGGGCGUAAAGGGCGCGUAGGCGGUGCGGUAAGUCUGUAGUGAAAUCUCUGGGCUCAACUCAGAGUCUGCUGCAGAAACUGCCGUGCUUGAGUGUGGGAGAGGUGAGUGGAAUUCCCGGUGUAGCGGUGAAAUACGUAGAGAUUGGGAAGAACACCAGUGGCGAAGGCGGCUAUCUGGACGGUUUCUGACGCUAAGACGCGAAAGCGUGGGGAGCAAACAGG